UGUAUUUGUAGUAGAGAUGGGGUUUCACCGUAUUGGCCAGGAUUGUCUCAAUCUCCUGAUCUCGUGAUCCAUCAGCCUCUGCCUCCCAAAUUGCUGGGAUUACAGGUGUGAGCCACCACACCCAGCCUGUUCUAAUAUGUUAAAAGAAUUGCCCAUAGUAAAAUCUUUCCUUAAUAAAAAGUCCAUAUUUAUCAACCUGAGAAAAAUGCAAUUGAAAAAUGGACAAGGAGCAAGAACAAAAACUUAACUAGAAGUUGGCAAUUUAGCACGUAAUAAGAAUUUUUUGUAUCAUUAGCAACUAGGGAAAUCCAAAUAAAAACUACAUUGAGAUACCCCUACACUGAAACAGACCCAAUUGCCCUAUAGAACUGAUGUUUAUGGUUUCUUUGAAUAAACACAGUAACUGAUCCUUUUAGUCUUAAAACUUGAGACAGUUACAUUUGUCUUAUCUGAGUUCCUUUCUCAGGAAAGCAACCAUCAGGCCUCCCAGAUAGUAUUAACCAGUUGAAACUCACAGGAUCACUGAAUUUGGACAAUGAAAGUCAGACCCCUCACCCAUCAUGAUUGCCUAACCCACCACCUGCUUCCUGUUGACCAAACCCUCUUCCUUACCCCUAACCAAUUCAUGUUUUUCCACAUAUGGUUACAUUUCCUCCCAGCAAUAGAAGCCGCUCAUUUUAGCCUGUCAGGGAGAUGGAUUUGAGACUGAUCUCCCAUCUCCCAUCUCCCAUCUCCUCAGCAGUAACACCCAAUUAAAGCCUUCUUCGUUGGCAACACUUGUUGUUGUCAUGAUUGGCUUUCUGAGCCACAAACAGCAGCACCUAGACCAAACCCCUGGUGUUUCAGCAACACCACCAUUGAUUAGAAUGUCUAACGGUUUUUUUAAAUGCUAAAAAUACCAAAUAAAGAACGUGGGCCAACUGAACUCUCAUGCGUUCACAAGGGGAACACAUAAUAGUACAGUCACUCUUAAAAAUGGUUUGCUAGUUCCUUGUAAAAUUAAAUAUACAUAUUUACCGUGACUCAGCAGUCCCACUCCUGGGUAUCUACCUUAAAGAAAUAAAAAUUUAUUUUCACACAAAAACCUGUAUGCAAAUGUUUAUAGCAGCUCUAUUCAGAAUUCCAAAACUUGGAAAAGGCUGGGCACAGUUGCUCAUUCCUGUCAUCCCAGCACUUUGGGAGGCCAAGGCAGGCGGAUCACUUGAGGUUAGGAGUUUGAAACCAGCCUGGCCAACAUGGUGAAACCCCUUCUCUACUAAAAAUACAAAAAUUAGCCAGGUGGGGUGGUGUGCACCUGUAAUCCCACCUACUCAGGAGGCUGAGGUGGGGGAGUCGCUUGAACCCCAGAGGUGGAGGUUGCAGUGAGCCGAGAUCAUGCCACUGCACUCCAGCCUGGGCAACAGAGUGAGACUCCAUCUCAAAAAUAAAUAAAUAGGCCGGGUGCAGUGGCUCAUGCCUGUAAUCUCAGUACUUUGGGAGGCUGAGGCAGGCAGAUCACCUGAGGUUGGGAGUUCGAGACCAGCCUGACCAACAUGGAGAAACCCCGUCUCUACCAAAAAUACAAAAUAGCCAGGCGUGGUGGCACAUGCCUGUAAUCCCAGUUACUAGGGAGGCUGAGGCAGGAGAAUCGCUUGAACCUGGGAGGCGGAGGUUGCGGUGAGCUGAGAUUACUCCAUUGCACUCCAGACUGGGCAACAAGAGCAAAACUCCAUCUCAAAAAAUAAAUAAAUAAAUAAACAAAUAAGUAUAAAAAAUAAUAAAACGGAAAAAAUACAAAUAUCCUUCAAUGGAUAAAUACUCUUCAGUAUAUCAUAACAUGGAAUACUAUCAGCAAUUAAAAUAAAACUGUUGUAGGCCAGGCGCAGUGGCUCAUGCCUGUAAUCCCAGCGCUUUGGGAGGCCGAGGUGGGUGGAUCACCUGAGGUCAGGAGUUGGAGAACAGCCUGACCAAUAUGGUGAAACCCUGUGUCUACUAGAAAUAUAAAAAUUACCUGGGUGUGGUGGGAUGCACCUGUAGUCCCAGCUACUCGGGAGGCUGAAACAGGAGAAUCAUUUGAACCUGGGAGGUGGAGGUUGCAGUGAGCCAAGAUCGAGCCACUGCACUCUAGCCUGGGCAACAGAGCAAGACUCCGUCUCAAAAAAAUAACAAUAAAAAAUAAAUAAAAUAAACUGUUUUCACACACAAUGAUAUGGAUACCAACUAAAUUGUGACCUUUUUUCCUUUCUUGUCCAAAUUUCUAACUAAGGGACAUAGGAAAUCAUGCCCUACAAACUAUAAAAAUCUCACCAGAAGGGUUUUAUUUAACCCUAUAUAACCGCUUAGUUUCCAACCUGACUCUGGCAUAACAUUGCAUGACAAAGAAGGAAAUCAAAAUAUUUUAUCCCCAAAUAUGCUUCUUUGCAGUAUAUAUUAUAUAUUUAUAUGAAAAUAUAGGGCCAGGCACAGUGGCUCAUGCCUAGAAUCUAGCACCUUUUAAAGGUUUAAAUAGGAAAUUUUUGCCAUCUAAAGACAGUCACUAUGAGACAUCCUAAGAAUCUUGGUCUCCACAACCCCUUAUCUUAACCCAGACACUCCUUUCUAUGAACCUGGUCUUCAGAUAGCCAAUUGCCAAUCAGAAAAUCGCUGAAUCCGCCUGUGACCUGUAAGCACCGCUUGGAGUUGUCCCGCCUUUCCUGACAGAACCAGUGUACACUUUACAUGUAUUGACUGAUGUCUUAAGUCUUCCCAAAACGUGUAAAAUCAAGCUGUAACCCAACCACCUUGGAUACAUGUUCUUAGGACCUCUUCAGACAGUACCUUGGCCUUCCUCACUCAUAUUUGGCUCAGAAUAAACUUCUAAAUAUUUUACAGUUUGACUCUUCGUAAACAUGGAUGAAUCACAAAAGCAUUACGCUUUUGAGGAGCCAGUCACAAAAGGUUAUAUCAUACUGUAUGAUUCCAUUUAUAUACCAUUUCUAAAAAGAGAAAACUAGGUUUCAAGAGCAGAUCAGUCCUUGCCAAGGAUCCAGGUGUCGGAGGGAGUGACCAUAAAGCAAAUGAAGCACAGAAGAGAAUGGCAGCACAAGGAGUUUCAGGGUGGGACAGGGCUCUUCCGUAUCCUGGUUACAGUGGUUACUACACGUAUACAUACAUAUGUGAAAAUUCAUAGAACUUUACACCCAAAGAAACGUUAGUUUUUUUGUUUGUUUGUUUUUGGUUUUUUUGAGAUGGAGUCUCCCUCU
rnacentral:lncRNA from 1 species